UACGUAGGGGGCAAGCGUUGUCCGGAAUUAUUGGGCGUAAAGCGCGCGCAGGCGGUCAUUUAAGUUUGGUGUUUAAUUCCAGGGCUCAACCCUGGGUCGCACUGAAAACUGGGUGACUUGAGUACAGAAGAGGAGAGUGGAAUUCCACGUGUAGCGGUGAAAUGCGUAGAUAUGUGGAGGAACACCAGUGGCGAAGGCGACUCUCUGGGCUGUAACUGACGCUGAGGCGCGAAAGCGUGGGUAGCAAACAGG
rnacentral:rRNA from 1 species